rnacentral:rRNA from 1 species
GACGAACGCUGGCGGCGUGCUUAACACAUGCAAGUCGAGCGGUAAGGCCCUUUCGGGGGUACGACGAGCGGCGAACGGGUGAGUAACACGUGGGUGACCUCGCCCUCAGCUCUGGGAGUAAGCCUCGGGAAACCGGGUACUAAUACUGGAUAUGACUCCAUGACGCAUGUUGGCGGGGUGGAAAGCCUUGUGCGGCUGAGGAUGGGCCC